rnacentral:rRNA from 1 species
ACUCCUACGGGAGGCAGCAGUGGGAAUAUUGCGCAAUGGGCGAAAGCCUGACGCAGCAAUGCCGCGUGAGUGAGGAAGGCCUUCGGGUUGUAAAACUCUGUCAGAUAGGAAGAAUUGCCAAGGGUCCAAUAGGCCCUUGGAGUGACGGUACUAUCAAAGGAAGCACCGGCUAACUUCGUGCCAGCAGCCGCGGUAAUACGAAGGGUGCAAGCGUUGUUCGGAUUUAUUGGGCGUAAAGCGCAUGCAGGUGGUUUGUUAAGUCAGAUGUGAAAGCCCGGGGCUCAACCUCGGAAUUGCAUUUGAAACUGGCAGACUAGAGUACUGUAGAGGGGGUGAGAAAUUUCAGGUGUAGCGGUGAAAUGCGUAGAGAUCUGAAGGAAUACCGGUGGCGAAGGCGGCCCCUCGGACAGAUACUGACACUCAGAUGCGAAAGCGUGGGGAGCAAACAGGAUUAGAUACCCUGGUAGGCUCUGCU